GCCUUGGUGGCUCAGUCGGGUAAGCAUCUGACUUUGGCUCAGGUCAUUAUCUCACAGUUUGUGGGUUCAAGCCCCAUGUCAGGCU
rfam:Felis catus isolate Cinnamon breed Abyssinian chromosome B1, whole genome shotgun sequence.